GGCCCGCACAAGCGGUGGAGUAUGUGGUUUAAUUCGAUGCAACGCGAAGAACCUUACCAGGGUUUGACAUCCUGCGAAUCUCUUGGAAACGAGAGAGUGCCUUCGGGAGCGCAGUGACAGGUGGUGCAUGGCUGUCGUCAGCUCGUGUCGUGAGAUGUUGGGUUAAGUCCCGCAACGAGCGCAACCCUUGUCCUUAGUUGCCAGCCUUAAGUUGGGCACUCUAAGGAGACUGCCGGUGACAAACCGGAGGAAGGUGGGACGACGUCAAGUCAUCAUGCCCCUUACAUCCUGGGCUACACACGUACUACAAUGCUACGGACAAAGAGCAGCAAGUUCGCGAGGACAAGCAAAUCUCAUAAACGUGGCUCAGUUCAGA
rnacentral:rRNA from 1 species